GCAUUCUUUUUUUUUUUAAAAUAUUUAUUUAGUUAUCGGCAGACACAACAUCUUUGUUGGUAUGUGGUGCUGAGGAUCGAACCCAGGCCACAGGCAUGCCAGACGAUCGAUCGCACUACCGCUUGAGUCACAUCCCCAGCCCCCAGGCAAGCAUUCUUAACACUGAAAUAUACCCCCAAGCUUUUAUUGAGACAGUCUCAUUCAGUUGCCCAGGCUGGCCUUGAAUUUGCACUCCUCCUGCCUCAGCCUCCCAAAUAGCUGGGAUUACAGGUGUGUGCCACCAUGCCCAGCCCAAUUUGGUAUUUUUUUCCAGUUAUUUUUUUCUUUUGGCACAUCUUUUGUUUAGGUGUCUUCAUUUUGUUUCCAUAACUUCCAAUUAAAACGGUAGCUUGGGGCUGGAAUUGUGGCUCAGUGGCAGAGCACUUGCCUCGAAAGUAUGAGGCACUUAGUGGGGUUUGAUCCUCAGCACCACAUGAAAAUAAAUAAAUAAAUUAAAGGUAUUGUGUCCAUCUACAACUAAAAAAUUUUUUAAAAUGAUAACUUGUUCAUUUUUCCAUAUGGCUAGAAACUCCUCACUGGGUUUUCCUGUAAUUCUCAUAUAUGUGUGUGUGUGUGUGUGUGUGUGUGUGUGUGUGUAUAGUGAAUUUGUUCUCCAAGCCAUUUUAAAGUGCUUUGACAAAUAUGAAAACUUUGUAUUAAAGCUUGAUUCAUAUUUUAUCUAUGUAGAAGUGUCUUUAUUUUUUGUUAUUGCAAAAAUGCUAUAUUUUAGGGGCUGGGGUUGUGGCUCAGUGGUAGUACACUUGCCUUGCAUGUGUGAGGCACUGGGUUCGAUCCUCAGCACCACAUUAAAAAAACAAAAGAAAAGUUAUUUUUUACAAUGCUGUAUUUUAGUAAAUAAAGUCAGACUAUACUGAUUUAUAUAAAGUAAAAGUGAACAUCUGAGAAAAUAUCUGUACUCGAGAAAAAGGGCACUAUUUUAUUUAUUUUUUAGUUGUAGUUGAACACAAUACUCUUAUUUUAUUCAUUUUUACAUGGUGCUGAGGAUGGAACCCAGGGCCUUGCACGUGCAAGGUGAGCACUUGACCGCUGAGCCGCAACUCCAGCCGCAAGG
rnacentral:lncRNA from 1 species